UUAUACCGUGAAACUGCGAAUGGCUCAUUAAAUCAGUUAUCGUUUAUUUGAUAGUACCUUACUACUUGGAUACCCGUGGUAAUUCUAGAGCUAAUACAUGCUAAAAACCCCGACUUCGGGAGGGGUGUGUUUAUUAGAUAAAAAACCAACGCCCUUCGGGGCUCCUUGGUGAUUCAUGAUAACCUCUCAGAUCGCACGGCCUUGCGCCGGCGACGGUUCAUUCAAAUUUCUGCCCUAUCAACUUUCGAUGGUAAGGUAUUGGCUUACCAUGGUUUCAACGGGUAACGGGGAAUUAGGGUUCGAUUCCGGAGAGUGAGCCUGAGAAACGGCUCACACAUCCAAGGAAGGCAGCAGGCGCGCAAAUUACCCAAUCCCGACACGGGGAGGUAGUGACAAUAAAUACUGAUACAGGGCUCUUUUGGGUCUUGUAAUUGGAAUGAGUACAAUUUAAACCUCUUAACGAGGAACAAUUGGAGGGCAAGUCUGGUGCCAGCAGCCGCGGUAAUUCCAGCUCCAAUAGCGUAUAUUAAAGUUGUUGCAGUUAAAAAGCUCGUAGUUGAAUCUUUGGCCUGGCUGGCGGGUCCGCCUCACCGCGUGCACUUGUCCGGCCGGGCCUUCUCUUCUGGAGAACCGCAUGCCCUUCACUGGGCGUGUUGGGGACCAGGACUUUUACUUUGAAAAAAUUAGAGUGUUCAAAGCAGGCCUUUGCUCGAAUACGUUAGCAUGGAAUAAUAGAAUAGGACGUGCGGUCCUAUUUUGUUGGUUUCUAGGACCGCCGUAAUGAUUAAUAGGGACAGUCGGGGGCAUCAGUAUUCAAUUGUCAGAGGUGAAAUUCUUGGAUUUAUUGAAGACUAACUACUGCGAAAGCAUUUGCCAAGGAUGUUUUCAUUAAUCAGUGAACGAAAGUUAGGGGAUCGAAGACGAUCAGAUACCGUCGUAGUCUUAACCAUAAACUAUGCCGACUAGGGAUCGGGCGGUGUUAUCGAUUUGACCCGCUCGGCACCUUGCGAGAAAUCAAAGUGUU
rnacentral:rRNA from 1 species